UAGCGAGUAUAGGCCUCACGGAUCAUAAGUUCCACCAGCGAAAUACCUUGUACCAGUCAGGGGCUGGACUCGGCCUUGAAUAGCCUAGGGCGAUUGCGGAAGGACAACUCUCUUUGCAUACCAGUUCAAGAGUCUUGAAGUCGUUUUUAAUCUGU
rnacentral:misc_RNA from 1 species